UAGGGAAUAUUGCACAAUGGGGGAAACCCUGAUGCAGCGACGCCGCGUGAGUGAUGAAGGCCUUCGGGUCGUAAAGCUCUGUCGUAUGGGAAUAACACAAUGAAUGUACCAUGCAAGAAAGGAUCGGCUAACUUCGUGCCAGCAGCCGCGGUAAGACGAGGGAUCCUAGCGUUGUUCGGAAUUAUUGGGCGUAAAGCGGGUGUAGGCGGACUUAUAAGUCAGGUGUGAAAUCCCAGGGCUCAACCCUGGAAGUGCACUUGAUACUGGAAGUCUUGAAUGUGGUAGAGGCUAUUAGAAUUCUUGGUGUAGUGGUGAAAUACGUAGAUAUCAAGAGGAAUACCGGAGGCGAAGGCGGAUAGCUGGGCCAACAUUGACGCUGAGACCCGAAAGCGUGGGGAUCAAACA
rnacentral:rRNA from 1 species